ensembl:snoRNA SNORA70 Small nucleolar RNA SNORA70
UUGCAGCCAAUUAAGCCAACCGUGCUCUUUUCCCCAUGGGGGCCCGGUGUGCAAUGGCUGCAAACAGCAGCCUCCUCGGUAGUGUAUGCAGCCUGUUGCCUUAUAGGCUGCCCUAAGGGACUUUGGAGACAGCC